rnacentral:antisense_RNA from 1 species
AGUACCCUCUGGAAGGGCCUGCGUGGCAAGGAACUGAUGUUUCCAGCCAGCAGCCAGCAAGAACUGCAAGCCUUGUGAAUGAGCUUGGAAGCAGAUCCUCCCCUCACUCAAGCAGUGAUAUGACAACAGCCUGAGACCCAGAGUUUUAUGGAUACUUCAAAAAUCAAGAAAGUAUAAGAAGAUAGUAAAGAAUGUUCCUCUCAGCCACGCUGCAUUCACCCAUUUCCCACCCCAACCUGCAAAAAGUAACCGCUGGCUGGGCCCGGUGGCUCACACCUGUAAUUCCAGCAUCUUGGGAGGCCAAGGUACAGCCAUGGGGGAAGAUGGCUGAGCACAAGGGACCAGCUGCAUGCUGCUCCUGGAGUCAGCU